GACGUAGGGCGCGAGCGUUGUCCGGAUUUAUUGGGCGUAAAGAGCUCGUAGGCGGCUUGUCGCGUCGACUGUGAAAACCCGCGGCUCAACUGCGGGCCUGCAGCCGAUACGGGCAGGCUAGAGUUCGGUAGGGGAGACUGGAAUUCCUGGUGUAGCGGUGAAAUGCGCAGAUAUCAGGAGGAACACCGGUGGCGAAGGCGGCAUCCUGGACCGGCAUUGACGCUGAGGCGCGAAAGCCAGGGGAGCAAACGGG
rnacentral:rRNA from 1 species